rnacentral:rRNA from 1 species
ACGUAGGGAGCAAGCGUUGUCCGGAAUUACUGGGUGUAAAGGGAGUGUAGGUGGGAACUCAAGCUGGAUGUUAAAGCGAUCGGCUCAACCGGUCGCCGCCUUGAAAACUGCCAUUCUUGAGUGCAGUAGAGGAUGGUGGAAUUCCUAGUGUAGCGGUGAAAUGCGUAGAUAUUAGGAGGAACACCAGUGGCGAAGGCGGCUUACUGGACUGUAACUGACGCUGAGGCACGAAAGCGUGGGGAGCAAACAG